UACGUAGGGUCCGAGCGUUGUCCGGAAUUAUUGGGCGUAAAGAGCUCGUAGGCGGUUUGGUAAGUCUGGUGUGAAAUCUCCACGCUCAACGUGGAGGGGCCACCCGAUACUGCCAUGACUGGAGUCCGGUAGAGGAGUGUGGAAUUCCCGGUGUAGCGGUGAAAUGCGCAGAUAUCGGGAGGAACACCCGUAGCGAAGGCGGCACUCUGGGCCGGUACUGACGCUGAGGCACGAAGGCCAGGGGAGCAAACGGG
rnacentral:rRNA from 1 species